rnacentral:rRNA from 1 species
GGUUAAGCGACUAAGCGUACACGGUGGAUGCCCUGGCAGUCAGAGGCGAUGAAGGACGUGCUAAUCUGCGAAAAGCGUCGGUAAGGUGAUAUGAACCGUUAUAGCCGGCGAUGUCCGAAUGGGGAAACCCAGUGUGAUUCGUCACACUAUCGUUAACUGAAUACAUAGGUUAACGAGGCGAACCGGGGGAACUGAAACAUCUAAGUACCCCGAGGAAAAGAAAUCAACCGAGAUUCCCCCAGUAGCGGCGAGCGAACGGGGAGCAGCCCAGAGUCUGAAUCAGCUUGUGUGUUAGUGGAACGGUCUGGAAAGUCCGACGGUACAGGGUGAUAGUCCCGUACACCAAAAUGCACAGGUUGUGAACUCGAAGAGUAGGGCGGGACACGUGGUAUCCUGUCUGAAUAUGGGGGGACCAUCCUCCAAGGCUAAAUACUCCUGACUGACCGAUAGUGAACCAGUACCGUGAGGGAAAGGCGAAAAGAACCCCGGCGAGGGGAGUGAAAAAGAACCUGAAACCGUGUACGUACAAGCAGUGGGAGCACCUUCGGGUGUGACUGCGUACCUUUUGUAUAAUGGGUCAGCGACUUAUAUUCUGUAGCAAGGUUAACCGUAUAGGGGAGCCGCAGGGAAACCGAGUCUUAACUGGGCGUUAAGUUGCAGGGUAUAGACCCGAAACCCGGUGAUCUAGCCAUGGGCAGGUUGAAGGUUGGGUAACACUAACUGGAGGACCGAACCGACUAAUGUUGAAAAAUUAGCGGAUGACUUGUGGCUGGGGGUGAAAGGCCAAUCAAACCGGGAGAUAGCUGGUUCUCCCCGAAAGCUAUUUAGGUAGCGCCUCGUGAACUCAUCUUCGGGGGUAGAGCACUGUUUCGGCUAGGGGGUCAUCCCGACUUACCAACCCGAUGCAAACUACGAAUACCGAAGAAUGUUAUCACGGGAGACACACGGCGGGUGCUAACGUCCGUCGUGAAGAGGGAAACAACCCAGACCGCCAGCUAAGGUCCCAAAGUCAUGGUUAAGUGGGAAACGAUGUGGGAAGGCACAGACAGCCAGGAUGUUGGCUUAGAAGCAGCCAUCAUUUAAAGAAAGCGUAAUAGCUCACUGGUCGAGUCGGCCUGCGCGGAAGAUGUAACGGGGCUAAACCAUGCACCGAAGCUGCGGCAGCGACACUAUGUGUUGUUGGGUAGGGGAGCGUUCUGUAAGCCUGCGAAGGUGUGCUGUGAGGCAUGCUGGAGGUAUCAGAAGUGCGAAUGCUGACAUAAGUAACGAUAAAGCGGGUGAAAAGCCCGCUCGCCGGAAGACCAAGGGUUCCUGUCCAACGUUAAUCGGGGCAGGGUGAGUCGACCCCUAAGGCGAGGCCGAAAGGCGUAGUCGAUGGGAAACAGGUUAAUAUUCCUGUACUUGGUGUUACUGCGAAGGGGGGACGGAGAAGGCUAUGUUAGCCGGGCGACGGUUGUCCCGGUUUAAGCAUGUAGGCUGAUUGUCCAGGCAAAUCCGGAUAAUCAAGGCUGAGGUGUGAUGACGAGGCACUACGGUGCUGAAGUAACAAAUGCCCUGCUUCCAGGAAAAGCCUCUAAGCAUCAGGUAACAUCAAAUCGUACCCCAAACCGACACAGGUGGUCAGGUAGAGAAUACCAAGGCGCUUGAGAGAACUCGGGUGAAGGAACUAGGCAAAAUGGUGCCGUAACUUCGGGAGAAGGCACGCUGGUGUGUAGGUGAAGUCCCUGCGGAUGGAGCUGAGACCAGUCGAAGAUACCAGCUGGCUGCAACUGUUUAUUAAAAACACAGCACUGUGCAAACACGAAAGUGGACGUAUACGGUGUGACGCCUGCCCGGUGCCGGAAGGUUAAUUGAUGGGGUUAUCCGUAAGGAGAAGCUCUUGAUCGAAGCCCCGGUAAACGGCGGCCGUAACUAUAACGGUCCUAAGGUAGCGAAAUUCCUUGUCGGGUAAGUUCCGACCUGCACGAAUGGCGUAAUGAUGGCCAGGCUGUCUCCACCCGAGACUCAGUGAAAUUGAACUCGCUGUGAAGAUGCAGUGUACCCGCGGCAAGACGGAAAGACCCCGUGAACCUUUACUAUAGCUUGACACUGAACAUUGAGCCUUGAUGUGUAGGAUAGGUGGGAGGCUUUGAAGCGUGGACGCCAGUCUGCGUGGAGCCAACCUUGAAAUACCACCCUUUAAUGUUUGAUGUUCUAACGUUGGCCCCUGACCGGGGUUGCGGACAGUGUCUGGUGGGUAGUUUGACUGGGGCGGUCUCCUCCCAAAGCGUAACGGAGGAGCACGAAGGUUAGCUAAUCCUGGUCGGACAUCAGGAGGUUAGUGCAAUGGCAUAAGCUAGCUUGACUGCGAGCGUGACGGCGCGAGCAGGUGCGAAAGCAGGUCAUAGUGAUCCGGUGGUUCUGAAUGGAAGGGCCAUCGCUCAACGGAUAAAAGGUACUCCGGGGAUAACAGGCUGAUACCGCCCAAGAGUUCAUAUCGACGGCGGUGUUUGGCACCUCGAUGUCGGCUCAUCACAUCCUGGGGCUGAAGUAGGUCCCAAGGGUAUGGCUGUUCGCCAUUUAAAGUGGUACGCGAGCUGGGUUUAGAACGUCGUGAGACAGUUCGGUCCCUAUCUGCCGUGGGCGCUGGAGAAUUGAGGGGGGCUGCUCCUAGUACGAGAGGACCGGAGUGGACGCAUCACUGGUGUUCGGGUUGUCAUGCCAAUGGCACUGCCCGGUAGCUAAAUGCGGAAGAGAUAAGUGCUGAAAGCAUCUAAGCACGAAACUUGCCCCGAGAUGAGUUCUCCCUGAGACUUUAAGUCUCCUGAAGGAACGUUAAAGACGAUGACGUUGAUAGGCCGGGUGUGUAAGCGCAGCGAUGCGUUGAGCUAACCGGUACUAAUGAACCGUGAGGCUUAACCUU